AAGUCGUAACAAGGUCUCCGUUGGUGAACCAGCGGAGGGAUCAUUACCGAGUUUACCUUACUCAAAACCCUUAUGUGGACUAUUACCUAUUCCGUUGCUUCGGCUGGCGGCCCUGUGGAAGGGGUCCUUCUGGCGCUGUAUGGCGUGCUAGCCGGUGGCAUUUACAAACUCUUCUGUCUUUAGUGGAUUUAAAACUGCUGAGUGGCAUUAUCACAAAAAGUCAAAACUUUCAACAACGGAUCUCUUGGCUCUG
rnacentral:misc_RNA from 1 species